rnacentral:rRNA from 1 species
UACGGAGGAUGCGAGCGUUAUCCGGAUUUAUUGGGUUUAAAGGGUGCGUAGGCGGAUCGAUAAGUCAGUGGUGAAAACCUGCAGCUUAACUGUAGACUUGCCGUUGAUACUGUUGGUCUUGAGUAUGGUCAAGGUAGGCGGAAUGUGUAAUGUAGCGGUGAAAUGCUUAGAUAUUACACAGAACACCGAUUGCGAAGGCAGCUUACUGGACCAUCACUGACGCUGAUGCACGAAAGCGUGGGGAUCGAACAGG